rnacentral:rRNA from 1 species
AGUGAACGCUGGCGGUAGGCCUAACACAUGCAAGUCGAACGGCAGCACAGUAAGAGCUUGCUCUUACGGGUGGCGAGUGGCGUACGGGUGAGGAAUACAUCGGAAUCUACUUUUUCGUGGGGGAUAACGUAGGGAAACUUACGCUAAUACCGCAUACGACCUACGGGUGAAAGCAGGGGAUCUUCGUACCUUGCGCGAUUGAAUGAGCCGAUGUCGGAUUAGCUAGUUGGCGGGGUAAAGGCCCACCAAGGCGACGAUCCGUAGCUGGUCUGAGAGGAUGAUCAGCCACACUGGAACUGAGACACGGUCCAGACUCCUACGGGAGGCAGCAGUGGGGAAUAUUGGACAAUGGGCGCAAGCCUGAUCCAGCCAUACCGCGUGGGUGAAGAAGGCCUUCGGGUUGUAAAGCCCUUUUGUUGGGAAAGAAAAGCAGCAGGUUAAUACCCCGCUGUUCUGACGGUACCCAAAGAAUAAGCACCGGCUAACUUCGUG